UCAGCUCCACACUUCGAACGAGGCUCUCCCAGCCAAUCAGAUCUGACCUCGGCUUUUAGGGCAAACCAAUGGCUCUGAGAAACGGCUGAAAUAUACCCGCCCACCAGAGGGCUAAAACAACAGAGGCGGAGGAAAAGAGACUGGAGAGAGAGUGUCACUCUGAAACCGUUAUAAACGGAGAGAAGAUCCACUUUGGAUUCACUCGGGAUGAUGUUUCUUUGUGUGAUGAUACUGACUUUCUCUGGCUUUAUGGAGACCAUGUCAGAGUAAAGGCUCUCCUGUCGACAACCAGCAUAUUGAUACUCUUACAGCUUGCCAAACAAUACUGCAAUCUUCGGUGGGAUCGUGUUCUGUGGUCAAACCAAAAUGGAGGUUUUUGGCAAUGAACACCAGAGGUGAGUUUGGCGUGAACACAGAGUCAUUUAUGAAAGGAGUUCAUCUCCACUGUGAAG